rnacentral:lncRNA from 1 species
GACACUUUUGGCCCUUAAAAUGGAGUUUACUCCCCAAGUGUUCUUGGGCGGUAAACUCCCAAAUCUUGGUGUCUUGUUCCGAUUUUGAUGUUUUCUAGUCAUAUACACACUAGCAUACAAGUCUAAGGUAGUUACAAAUCACGGGGAAAGGACUAGGUAGCAUUUAAGCCACAUAUUGGAGUUUACUCUCCAAGAACGUUCUUGGGCGGUAAACUCCCGAAUCUAGUUGUUUUGUUAUGAAAUUGAUGUUUCUAAACACAAUCUAAGCUAUAUAACAUAACUAGAUCGAAGUACUCACAAUUUGGGAUAAAAACCCGAAGAUCCGUGAGAGAGAAUUUUGGCUUUUCUCUAAUUGGAAAUGUAACUAAUGAACUAUUUGGUUCAGUUUUCUAUAUAUAGUCCUGGGAUUUUUGGCAGAAAAUAUUUUUAUUCCCGGAAUGAACUCUAAUAUCCUAGAGUAUUGGAAUAACAGUGUUGCACAAAACCCUAGUGCAUCCACUCUCCUAAUAUCUCCUUAAGUGUAAAUCCUGAAAACUGCCAAACUUAUACUCGAAGUCUGAAUUUUCACUGUAACUGUUCUACUUCUAUUGGCUUGAUAUGGUUUGUUCAGAAUGGAAAUUUCGGGUUGUCACAUCAUCCCCCUGUUAAAGGGAAUUUCGUCCCGAAAUUAGAAUUUAGGCAAGGAAGUAAGUACGAAUGAUCGAGUCGUGAGGAGGAAGCUUCCUAAUCGAUUGGUUCUAGCGCACCUAAGUGAAAUCUGGUUCUCGGUUGGAAUUCCAAUGAACCUUCACUAACGGGCGUUGGCGUUGCUUCGUCCGCUUGACCUCUUGGUCGAGGGUCACUACGGUUCUAAUAUGAAGGCAACGAUCUCGACGAAUUGACUUACAAGAGUCCUAACGGAAAGGUAUGGUUUCAUGAUCGAGACGCUAAGAGUAUAAUGUACGUUACUGAGUUUGCGGAGUAGGUCUAGUUUGCGAGAUACAGGACUAAUUCUGGUAAGAAUCUCAGAGGUCCUGUCUCUCUUGGAUUUAGCUUUCCAUGCUUUACGAAGCGUAUUAAGCCGUUCCCGAGUGAGCCUUCCUAAAGAAUUUGGUCUCUCACUUGGAAUCUCCAUAGGUUCUUUCUCUUGCUUAACUUCCUAGUCAAGGGCCACUCCUUGUUGGGUCAAGGUCGUAUGGUUUCCUGUGAUUUGCGAGGGUUUCUGGAUGAACUAUGACAGUAGGUCUGUAAGACCAAGAAUUUGGCGAAAGGUUGUCAGCGUCUCUGGUGUCGACAAAUGCUCAACGGUUUUGACAAAUUGAAAGAGUACUCAAAAUUUCCCACAUUACUAACAGUGUGUCAUACAAAUUUGACUCUUCAAUUUCAAAACUCGUGCCUAGAGAACUUCGCUAAAAGUUCCUCUGUAGGAAAUGUUUCCAUGGGUUUUCUUCUUACUACGAGGGUAGAUAAGUAAGUCAUUACAUGGAGAAAUGACGAACUGAUCCAAGUAAGAAAGACGUACCCUAUUCGUUUAGCUCAUGAAAGCUAUGGGCGUAUUGGUCCUAUCCGAAGGGUAUCACUACGGACUCGAAGUGUCCGCAUCGAGUUCGGAAGAUAGUCUUCCGGACAUCCUUUCCUAACACUCGAACUGGUGAUAUUCGGAUCUCAGAUCCAUUUCUGAAAGUAAUUCUUUCCUUGCGUUUGCUCAACCAUUUCAUCUAUGUGCGGCAGAGAUAACGAUUUCUAAUGAAAAAUAUUGAUGGAGUCCUCGAAAUCCGAGGCACAUACGAUGCAAUCCGUCGAUAUCUGGGAGAAUAAGACUGGGGUUUCUCCAGGGUGAGAAGCCUAGUCUUCUUAUUCUAUCGUUGUGCAGUUCGUUAAGUUGUUUGUACUGUUCUGGUAUCUCCGUGGGUGUUUAGACUAUAGGGUGAUCUGUUUACAAGAGUCGUACUAGGUUCUAUGUUUGUUCACAUGACGAUGUGAUUACUCGUAGGCUUAAGCAGUUCUCCGUCCUGAAUUUCAUAUUAGAAUUCAUACAUGGUUCACAAUAACAAUUUCGUGUAUAUCACAUCGUCAUGUGAACAAACAUAGAACCUAGUUCGACUCUUGUAAACAGAUCACCCUAUAGUCUAAACACCCACGGAGAUACCAGAACAGUACAAACAACUUAACGAACUGCACAACGAUAGAAUAAGAAGACUAGGCUUCUCACCCUGGAGAAACCCCAGUCUUAUUCUCCCAGAUAUCGACGGAUUGCAUCGUAUGUGCCUCGGAUUUCGAGGACUCCGUCAAUAUUUUUCAUUAGAAAUCGUUAUCUCUGCCGCACAUAGAUGAAAUGGUUGAGCAAACGCAAGGAAAGAAUUACUUUCAGAAAUGGAUCUGAGAUCCGAAUAUCACCAGUUCGAGUGUUAGGAAAGGAUGUCCGGAAGACUAUCUUCCGAACUCGAUGCGGACACUUCGAGUCCGUAGUGAUACCCUUCGGAUAGGACCAAUACGCCCAUAGCUUUCAUGAGCUAAAUGAAUAGGUUACGUCUUUCUUACUUGGAUCAGUUCGUCAUUUCUCCAUGUAAUGACUUACUUAUCUACCCUCGUAGUAAGAAGAAAACCCAUGGAAACAUUUCCUACAGAGGAACUUUUAGCGAAGUUCUCUAGGCACGAGUUUUGAAAUUGAAGAGUCAAAUUUGUAUGACACACUGUUAGUAAUGUGGGAAAUUUUGAGUACUCUUUCAAUUUGUCAAAACCGUUCACAUCCCAUCCGGGAAAAGAAGUUAAAGUGGAAUCAUCAAUUCUAAACCUGUAGAACCUUGAUUAUAUAUCAAUCUUAUGCAUACAUUUCUCAGUGAUAGAUCAAUCGUAUGAAUUCUUGGAUUGAACUUGACGUACUGCACGAGUGGUACUUCGGGGGUUUCUUCGGAAAAGAAAAGAACUAUGAGGUACUCCAUGCAUGAGUACUUCGGUGUUCUGAUGUAACGGCUUCGUUGGAAAAGCGAUCUAAAAGAAAGAGAUGUACGUAUGAAGCUGUUUUGUGAGGAUCAAAUUGAAUCGAGUCUCAUGAUAAUGUCGGAAUCAUACUGAAACUUAAAGACAUUAGAUUUGAACAUAAGACGUUUUACAGACAAAACACAACCGUGCAACCAUCAAGAGAGUUCCUACAAGACUAUUGCUGCUAAAAAGGUAUACUACAAAAGACAAGUAUACGCAGCACGAGCAUCCCUAAACCUACAGAAUCUCGCAAAAGAUAAGACUCCAGUUGCACUAGUUCGGGAUAGUUUAUAAGUCUGUUACAACGAGACGCCUAAAUUACAUUAACGUGGUUCCGGAGCAGGCUCUCCUGCAGCUGUGAUCCUGAGAAUUUUCCCGUCUGCGCUAGAGUUCUGCGUUAUCGGGCAAUCCUUCUUGAGGUGUCCAAUUUCACCGCAUUGGUGACAUAUCUGGACAGCACCCACAUCAGUGGAGGAAGUGAAGUGUUGAGUAGGAGUUAUGAGGACACGGUUGCUUUCGUUGAUCUUCCCUUUUGGGCAAUUUUUGUAAUAGUGCCCUGCCUGAACACAACUAUAGCAAACUAGGCUUGCUCCAGUGGUGGUGGUAGUUCUACAGAAAUGAGCAAUGUGUCCCAUCUUGUUGCAAAUAUUGCAUUGUCAGGCUCGACUAAUUCCCUUGUGGUGGUGGUUGCACCGGUCGCACUUCGGGAGUGUUCCUUUAUAUGGUUUGCUCGGUACUGGGAUGGCAAAGGUUUCUACUUGUGGUUGUUGCCUGGCAAUUCUCUGAAUUCGUUUGCGUUCCACUUUGGCUUGACGUUUUCUUUUCUUGAACUCUGAGUUGUUGUUUUGGGUGGUGGCGACUGUUACUAUUUGUUGAUUCCUCGGAUCGUUAACACGAUCGGGAUUGUCAACUCCUUUUUCAGCCUUGUUUGCGUUGGCAAUGCUGCGAUUUGCCAGGAUUGCUAUCACGGCAGCUGUAACGGUGGCUUGAAAAGUAGCGGUGUCCAUAGGAAAAGUAGAGGUCUCGUUGCUUGGCUGGUUGUUUCCGGAUGACGACAUGAUUCUGUUACACGAAAGAUAAGGAUUUUGUGAGCGAUUCUGGUUGAACCUAGAUGUACUUAGAUUGUUCAAGUAAGGAGUAAGACUAUGUUCUCGAAAGGUUGACCUACAUCCCUAUGAUGCAGUCCUAGUACUAAAUGGGAGUGAGUUUGUGAAAUGGUCUUAAGAAGUUUGUCGUUCAAGCCGAGGGAUCGAUGGUUGGUGAAUAACAGGAUCCAACCACUGAAAGAGACUUGGAGAUGUCUCCGGAGUUAAAAUACUAUACUCCAAUGACUUGAGUAAAGCAUGUUUCAAAUAGGCUCCAAUGAAAGUACAAUAAGAGUACUUGAAUAAAGAAUGACACGGAAGUUAGCCGACUGUCAAUAUCUUUGAAAUUCAUGACGUAAAGAUUCAGGAAAAUGACCUUGUAAAGGUCUUACAUCAUAUCCAGAGAAGAUAGUUCUUGAUAGCAUAAGGACCUAACCCAAAGUACUUACAGUAUAAGGUAAUUUCAUAGAAAAUGCCACAUCAGGCAAAGACAGAAAAACAAUUCCUUUUAAUAAGGAAAAUAAAGUAAAGCGUCUACUACUGGCGAUGGUCAUCCCUCUGGUGAACUCUCAGUUCAGCCAGUUGACAUUCCAUAUCAAGUAGGUGUCUUUCGUACACCCUCUGGCAUACUCGAAGCUCUAUGACUUCGGCUCGUGAUUCAGUCAGUGCUUGCAGCUGGGUCUCAUGGUUUCUCUCUGAUCUUUCGUGAGCAUCUUCUAGACGAAUGGUGCAGAGGGUAUGCAUUCUCGCAUUAGCAACAACUUCGGUAAUCUGAUGUAGGGCUAUCCUGCCUUGAAUCUCAUUUCGGGCCACUCUACAGACCAAGAUUGGCAAGGAUCUGUCUGCUGAGCCCCCAUUGCUCAGGUCGUAAAAGCUUCGGUCGCCAUUAAAUGGCAUGGGCUGAUCUUGUCCUUGGCUCCAUGUGUCCAAGCAUUCCACCCACUCAGGCAUCGGGCCAUGAAAAAGCCGGACGAUGGUUAGGAAUUGGAAAGGGAGCUGUUUGGGGUAGGUUCUCAACCUCUGGUUCGGAAUUUGCACUGUCCGAAGGGUUUUCAUCAUGGUGAUCAUUCAAAGAGAUCGGAUGAUCAUUCUCUGGUUNGUUCUUCUCCAAACCAACCAGCUAUGACUUCGUUCGGAAGAUACUGGUUGCUGUGGGGAUGGAGUCCAGCCAUGUUAUCUAUGCGAGAAUUGGGGUAAGAAAUAAUUAUUAGACGAACUAUCUAGAUAAUUAUUUAGAAAAUUUUCAUCAGUUACAUCGCUAUUAGUGAAGUGCAUACCAGUUAUAUGUAAUCGAGCCAGGAUAGGCCUUCGAAUAAGUGACCUUAACUCCAUAUUCACACAGAAUAGGGGUGAAGUAAAAUUUUCACAGAUUCUAAGUCUAUAACAUCCUAAUUACAUAUAUCCUUAGUGUAUCCACUUAGCAACUAUCAACUUCGUAAUGAAGAUCCCGUUUUAGUUCUCAAGUAUAAAGUACUUAUAGUAACACCAAAUACUCCUAUAGUAUUUUAAGUUUAAUGUUAUGUUCUACUGUUCUCAUUGUGGUAGGGUUGGUAAGAUUUUAGCAUUGUUGCAACCACACAAUUAAACUUAGGCACAUGCUAGUCAACCCUCGGAUAAUAUAGGUGAUCAGGCUAUAUCUUCCCAGUUUUGACCAUAUGUCUCUAAGCCCACUUGUGUUGCCCAACAAUCGUAAUUCUUUUGUACUGUCCUAGUGACACUGAUUUUAGUAUGAAUGCAGGCACGUAUACUUUAUUAAAUAUUUUAUUAUUUAAAGUAUAAACUCUUGGUCAGAGUAUUUUUAAUCCCUUAUGUAUUUAUAGUUAGUAUAUCUUUUAUGGGUUGAUAUACUUAAUUCACUAUAAACAAUGCUCUGAUACCAAUCUGUCACACCCCAAAACCAAGAACGGCGGAAACGAUUUGCGGCGGAGGACAUCAUGUACAGUAUCACAACAAUGUAAAGUAAUAAACAAGCAACAACAUCAUCCAUUGCAUUAAUAAUAGAAUUAUUAUACAAGUGUGUUCUAUCAAAUUUUGAUAAACACUAAAGCAUAAAUCAAAAUGAAAGAUGAUUCUUUAACGAGAUCCAUCUUCCCUAAUCCUUGCAUCGGUAGCUGUCUAUGAUGACCUGAGGUUACAAGUAAUUUUGAAAGCGAGUAUCAGCUUUGAAGCUGGUGAGAUCAUAAGUAUUUUAGUGUCUUAAUUUGUAUGUAAGUAUUUGUAUGUAUAUGAAUUGCAAGUAUUGAGAAUGUAUAUGAAUUGUAAGUAUAAAAAUGUUUUGUAUGAUCCUAGGAAGCCCUAUGUUUCCUACUAAUCGUAUCCUUCUACCAAGGCAUCUAGUGUCUGCGUGUAUGGCUCACAUAAGAGAGUGUAUUUUCUCAAAUCUGACUAUCAUUAAUCAAAAUAUAGUUUCUACAUUAUCGUGCAUCAUGUGAAAAUUCACGAAGUGAAUGUAAUGGGAAAAGAAAUUGUACUAUGGUGUACUGUCGAACUACAACCGUACCUAUUACCUUAAAUCUAGGGUAAUACUUCCAAGUACUGUAGUAUUUGUAAUAAAUAACUACAUCGGUACUCAACUACCUUAUUUGAGGGAUAAGGUAUAAUGUGAUGUCUAGAUCCCAGACUAUACGCUCCCCUAUCAAAGGGAUUUUGGGACCUACCCACGACCCCUGCAUGUAUGCAAGCCGUGAGCAUCCAUAUUACUAUGAUCAUGUAUACUCGAUAUAACUAUCACAAUUGUGUGUGAUUCAACAGUAUAGUUAGAUCCUGAAUUGGUUCCGUGCUAUAGCACCUAGUAACGUCUGUCCUAUGUAUAUGUAAGUGUGUUCAUGUAAGUGAUCAUGUAGUUGUUCUCAUGUAAGUGUGAUCAUGUAAACAUCUCUAUGUAAUAGUAUAGUAAUCUACUGUAAUGUUCCACGUGUGCUAGCUGUAAUGUGUGUUCUCUCUCUAUCAAGCAUGUAUAGUAAUGUACUGUAAUGUUCUAGCUGUAAUGUAUGCUCUUUCUAUCUAGCAAGUAUAGUAAUGUACUAUAAUGUUAUAGCUGUAAUGUACGUGCUCUCUACCUAGCAAGUAUAGUAAUGUACAGUAAUGAUCUAGAAAGUAUUGACUCAUGAAUAAACUGACUCAUUGUAUGAUAUUGCGUUCUAGUAAUAGUUCUAGUAUCUUCCUAAACUACCCAUAUGGUAGUUUACUAGUAAUCUAACUUGUACGUAUGGACAUGGAUGUAUACCCUUGCUACCCAAGGGCAUGGGAUGAACUGGAAGGGCCUUUAUGACUAUAUAUGUACAUAUGUUAUAUAACUAAUAUUUAAACGACCUUCGGACGAGUACCCGAUAUCCCACCAGACCACAUCUCAAGCGCGAAAAGGAAAUAGGGUGGAUAGCCUUCCUAAGUCUUUUAAACAUUUCUUAUAUAACUAUACAUAUAGAGGCAUGCAAUUUAUAAUUUAAAAGCAUAAAAUAAGAUUUGUAAAACCUUUGAACAUAAAUAUUUUCUAAGAAAAGACCGACUUGAUGUCGAUCUAUAAAAUGGUUUUGAAGGCAUGGGUUUGAUAAAACAGUUUAGUAUAAAGAACAUUUGUUUGAAACACAAUUGUAAAUAAGUUUGAAAUGUAAUAUACAGAGUAAAAUGUACAGUGUAAUAAGGAGUUUUUAAACACAUAAAAUGUUUAUGAAAAACAUUUGAAGGAAACUGUUUGGUAAAACGGCUAAUGAGUAGCCAAUCAUUUGAAUGCUGCUUAUUAAUCACAUGUGAUUGAUAUAAUAAUUAGCAUAAUUCUACUUGUAUCCCCCCAUAAAACAUUUAAAAACAGUUUAAAACCAUGAUUAAGGGGUAUGAACUCACCUGCAGUAAGUGACUGGAAUUGAACGGACUGUUAUCGUAAGGAAGGAUCGGACAAGUGGUUGGUGUCAAGUGAAGACUUUAGACACACACAAUGAUCCUAAUUACGUAUGAAGACAUAUGUAUAUAAAUAAUUAGUGAUUAAAACACUAAUUAUACAAGUAUAAGCAUUUUAAUGCGAGGAAAACACUUUUGCUCAAGUGCUAGGAGGCAAAUGGGUUGCAACGAAGGAGUGCAAUGCCCCUAAUGGGAGUUUAUGGUCAAAUGACCAUAUGUUUUGGAGUUUAUGGCCCAGGGGAGUAAAUCCCUCGCCGUAAACUCACAACAAGGUCUCUAAAUGAAGCCUAUCAUUUAUACAACUAGUUCGGUGAAUUGUUUCAAGGCUAAAUCAAGUGUUUAGGCUUCCUAUUAACUCCUUUGAGGAGUUUACGGCCCUGGGACCAUAUCCCAGGGAGAUUAGGGCCGUAAUCUCCUUUGGGUGAAAGUUUACGGUGCUUUCAAGUCAAUAUAUUAUCAAGGAAUGCAUCACGGAAAUUGUCCAAGGCUUUAGGGGGAUUUAUGGCUUCAUUUUGCACCAUAUAAUGGAGUUCACAGCCCUGGAACAUCUUGGGCCGUGAACACCUUUUUCUUGGUGUUUUAGUGGUGUUUGCUUGCUCCAAACACACUAGGGUACUUGUACUAAUUCAAGCCUAAGCCUUAGGAAGUGUUUCAAGGCAUUUUGACACCUAAACAUGGAGUUCACGGCCCAAGAACCUCCUUGGCCGUGAACUCGCUUUCAUCAUUGAUUUGAAUUACUUUUGGUGUCCUAAACAUGCAAUGGUGGGUUCUAGUUCGAGUUCUAAAGCUUUGAGGGUCAUUGGGACACUUUUGGCCCUUAAAAUGGAUUUUACUCCCCAAGUGUUCUUGGGCGGUAAACUCCCAAAUCUUGGUGUCUUGUUCCGAUUUUGAUGUUUUCUAGUCAUAUGCACACUAGCAUACAAGCCUAAGGUAGUUACAAUUCGCGGGGAAAGGAAUAGGUAGCAUUUAAACCACAUAUUGGAGUUUACUCUCCAAGAACGUUCUUGGGCAGUAAACUCCCGAAUCUCGCAGAUUUGAUAUGUAAUUGAUGUUUCUAAACACAAUCUAAGCUAUAUAACAUAACUAGAUCGAAGUACUCACAAUUUGGGAUAAAAACCCGAAGAUCCGUGAGAGAGAAAAUGGCUUUUCUCUAGUUGGAAAUGUAACUAAUGAACCAAUUUGGUUCAGAAUUCUAUUUAUAGUCCUGAGAUAUUUUUGGCAGAAAAUAUUUUUAUUCCCGGAAUGAACUCUAAUAUCUU